rnacentral:rRNA from 1 species
AGAGUUUGAUCCUGGCUCAGGACGAACGCUGGCGGCGUGCUUAACACAUGCAAGUCGAACGGUGAUAUCGGGGCUUGCCCUGGUUGAUCAGUGGCGAACGGGUGAGUAACACGUGAGUAACCUGCCCCAGACUCUGGGAUAACCCCGGGAAACCGGAGCUAAUACCGGAUAUGACCCUUGCAGGUAUCUGUGGGGGUGGAAAGUUUUUCGGUCUGGGAUGGACUCGCGGCCUAUCAGCUUGUUGGUGAGGUAAGGGCUCACCAAGGCGACGAUGGGUAGCCGGCCUGAGAGGGUGACCGGCCACACUGGGACUGAGACACGGCCCAGACUCCUACGGGAGGCAGCAGUGGGGAAUAUUGCACAAUGGGCGCAAGCCUGAUGCAGCGACGCCGCGUGAGGGAUGACGGCCUUCGGGUUGUAAACCUCUUUCAGCAGGGAAGAAGCGCAAGUGACGGUACCUGCAGAAGAAGCACCGGCUAACUACGUGCCAGCAGCCGCGGUAAUACGUAGGGUGCGAGCGUUGUCCGGAAUUAUUGGGCGUAAAGAGCUUGUAGGCGGUUUGUCGCGUCUGCUGUGAAAAUCCGGGGCUCAACCCCGGACUUGCAGUGGGUACGGGCAGACUAGAGUGUGGUAGGGGAGACUGGAAUUCCUGGUGUAGCGGUGGAAUGCGCAGAUAUCAGGAGGAACACCGAUGGCGAAGGCAGGUCUCUGGGCCACUACUGACGCUGAGAAGCGAAAGCAUGGGGAGCGAACAGGAUUAGAUACCCUGGUAGUCCAUGCCGUAAACGUUGGGAACUAGGUGUGGGUCUCAUUCCACGAGGUCCGUGCCGCAGCUAACGCAUUAAGUUCCCCGCCUGGGGAGUACGGCCGCAAGGCUAAAACUCAAAGGAAUUGACGG